ensembl:lncRNA
UUUUUUUUUUUUUUUGAGACGGAGUUUCGUUCUUGUUGUCCAGGCUGGAGUGCAAUGACGCGAUCUCCGUUCCCUACAACCUCUGCCUCUCAGGUUCAAGAGAUUCUCCUGCCUCAGGCUCCCAAAUAGCUGGGAUUAUAGGCGCCCGCUACCAUGCCCAGCUACUUUUUGUAUUUUUAGUAGAGAUGGGGUUUCACCAUGUUGGCCAGGUUGGUCCCGAACUCCUGGUCUCAGGUGAUCCACCCGCCUCGGCCUCCCAAAGUGCUGGGAUUACAGGCGUGAGCCGCUGUGCCCGGCCAGGAGUUGAAACUUCUUGACAUGACCUCCAGUGCUCUGAUGGCCAAACACCUUUGCAGCCUCAUCUCCCUUCACGUCCCGUUAAGGACCUACAUUCCAACCACAUAGAAGGUGCUUUCCUUCAAGCCUUUGCUUAUGUGCUCUCCUCCACUGGGUAUGCCUUUCCUUUUCCUGGUGGGCUACUUCUUUUUUAAAAAAAGUUUUAUUUAUUUAUUUUUAGAGCCAGAGUCUUGCUCUGUCACCCAGGCUGGAAUGUAGUGGUGUGAUCACGUCUCACUGCAGCUUCAAACUCCUGGGUUCAAGUGAUCCUUCUGCCUUAGCCCCUGAGUAGCUGGGAUUCCAACUGCAUACCACCAUGCUCAGCUGAUUUUUUUUUUUUUUAAGACAGGGUCUCUGUCUGUCACCUAGGGUGAAGUGCAGUGGCACAAUCAGGGCUCACUGCAACCUUGACCUUCCCAGUGCAGGUAAUCCUCCCACCUCAGCCUCCCAAGUAGCUGGGACCACAGGUGUGUGCCACCAUACCAGGCUAUUUUUUGUUAGUUUUUGUAGAGACAGAGUUUCACCAUGUUGCCCACACUGGUUUUGAACUUCUGGCUUCAAGUGAUCCUCCUGCCUUGGCCUCCCAAAAUGCUGGAAUUGCAGGUGUAAGUGCCGUGCCUGGUCACUGGUUAGGCUACUUCUAACUUGUCUUUUUCUUUAUAGCCAGUCUAUGUGUCCCAUCCUCCCCUUUCUCCAGGCUGCAUCAGGUGCCUGCUGACCGUGCCCCUCCUCUGUGUGUGUCCAGAACAUCCAAGGCCCUCAACCCGAAUGAUGAGUACUGAUUCUCCCAACUAUGUUGUGAACUCUACAUUCAGGGCAGGAGCUGGGUCUUAUCUUUCACUGCACCCUUGGGGCUUGCACAAUGCCUAGACGAAAGGAAGCCUUUGUAUCCAAUGCCUGAACUUGCUCCAAUAUUCCCCAACCUUUUACCUCCUUUUGCUGAUUGGAGACCUGGUUCUGACCUGCUUGGCUUGUGCAAAGCUCUGAGAGAGGAAAAAUUUGGCUUGGCCCCCUCCCGAUGGAAUCUUUCCAUUCCAAAGUUGUUUCUCCUUUCUUUGAGUCUCCUUUUAACCGUUCCCAAUUCCCUCAUUCCCAGGAACUCUUAAAUUCUUUCUCCCCUUAUCAAAAUACUCUUUCAGAAUAAGUACAUUCGCUUUGGAAUAAAACUGCUGUUUCCUUUCCCAGGCUUAUAUGUAUUUUAGCAGAAAAAAUUCAAAGGAAUUAAUUUCUAAUUGUGGAAAUUACAGGCCAUAGG